rnacentral:rRNA from 1 species
GAUGAACGCUGGCGGCAUGCUUCACACAUGCAAGUCGAACGGCAGCACGGGGGCAGCCCUGGUGGCGAGUGGCGAACGGGUGAGUAACAUAUCGGAACAUAUCCGCAAGUGGGGGAUAACGUAGCGAAAGUUACGCUAAUACCGCAUAUACCCUGAGGGGGAAAGGAGGGGAUCGCAAGACCUUUCGCUUACGGAGUGGCCGAUAACAGAUUAGCUAGUUGGUGGGGUAAAGGCCCACCAAGGCGACGAUCUGUAGCGGGUCUGAGAGGAUGAGCCGCCACACUGGGACUGAGACACGGCCCAGACUCCUACGGGAGGCAGCAGUGGGGAAUUUUGGACAAUGGGCGCAAGCCUGAUCCAGCCAUGCCGCGUGAGUGAAGAAGGCCUUCGGGUUGUAAAGCUCUUUCAGCCGGAAAAAAAUCGCACUAUCUAAUACAUAGUGUGGAUGAUGGUACCGGAAGAAGAAGCACCGGCUAACUACGUGCCAGCCGCCGCAGUAAAAC